GUGAGGACCGGGAACCCUGCGUCUCCCCAGAGCCCGGGCUGGGGAGUCAGAGGUCAGGGGUUCGAAUUCCGCCUCCGCCACUUAGCUGUGUGACUGUGGCCUCCACCCUUGUUUUCAUAUCCUGCACAGCUUCAACGGGAAAUUUUCAGUGAUAAGGUGAUCAUCGUGCAGAAGGACGACGAUAUUAACUUCAAACUCUGAAAGAGAGGAAGAUUCACUUUAAUUCCAUGGUGGAAAAAUAUUAAAAUUGUGGGCCAAAGGCUCUCAGCUGCCCUAGUGUC